CCUACGGGUGGCAGCAGUGAGGAAUAUUGGUCAAUGGGCGCGAGCCUGAACCAGCCAAGCCGCGUGAGGGAAGACGGUUCUAUGGAUUGUAAACCUUUUUUGUCGGGGAGCAAAAGACGCCACGCGUGGAGUUCCGAGAGUACCCGAAGAAAAAGCAUCGGCUAACUCUGUGUCAGCAGCCGCGGUAAUACGGAGGAAGCGAGCGUUAUCCGGAUUUAUUGGGUUUAAAGGGUGCGCAGGCGGAAGAUCAAGUCAGCGGUAAAAUUGAGAGGCUCAACCUCUUCGAGCCGUUGAAACUGGUUAUCUUGAGUGAGUGAGAGGUAUGCGGAAUGCGUUGUGUAGCGGUGAAAUGCAUAGAUAUCACGCAGAACUCCGAUUGCGAAGGCAGCAUACCGGCGCUCAACUGACGCUCAUGCACGAAAGUGUGGGUAUCGAACAGGAUUAGAUACCCGGGUAGUC
rnacentral:rRNA from 1 species